AACGAACGCUGGCGGCAGGCUUAACACAUGCAAGUCGAACGCAUCCUUCGGGGUGAGUGGCAGACGGGUGAGUAACGCGUGGGAACGUGCCCUUCAGCUCGGGAUAACCCAGGGAAACUUGGGCUAAUACCGGAUACGUGCGAGAGCAGAAAGAUUUAUCGCUGAAGGAACGGCCCGCGUCUGAUUAGCUAGUUGGUGGGGUAAUGGCCCACCAAGGCGACGAUCAGUAGCUGGUCUGAGAGGAUGAUCAGCCACAUUGGGACUGAGACACGGCCCAAACUCCUACGGGAGGCAGCAGUGGGGAAUAUUGGACAAUGGGCGCAAGCCUGAUCCAGCCAUGCCGCGUGAGCGAUGAAGGCCUUAGGGUUGUAAAGCUCUUUCGUCCGGGACGAUAAUGACGGUACCGGAAGAAGAAGCCCCGGCUAACUUCGUGCCAGCCGCCGCCGUAA
rnacentral:rRNA from 1 species